CAUAGUGCACAGCGCUUACAGGCUUCAAAUUCAAGAUUACUGGUGUGCCGCAGCUUUGCUUAUGGCGGACAAACAAUCCAGUUUCGUAGCCCCUCCUAUUCUGACACCCAAGGUUGCUAUCAUCCUUACUGCAGUGUUGUUCAGCACUAAUGUCAUUGGUGGACCACCGCUUCAUUGGUAAAUGUGACUACAGCACAGGGGGUAACCGCUGUCUCCACGUGUCUCCUUUGAUGCUGGAAGCAUGUGCCUCAAAUCCACAGGUGAAUUUGAGAAGAUUAAACUGCAAAUUGAAAUCAGAUUAACAAAAGUCUGCAGCAACACAUUUAGAGCACAAGCCUUUGAGGAGAUUUCAAGCACUUUCAUUUGAAGAAACAAGCUGGGUUUGCUUCUUAAAGAACAAAAUAAGCUGACAGGAAAUUAAUUAUUUGCAAAAAAUAAAAAUAAAAAAUGCAAGUCUAGUGCAAACUGACUAGAAUAAAGUUCACAUCAGUGAGCAGAAUGCUGAAAAGUGUAGCUGAACACAAGCAAGUUCUGCAUGUUUAGUACAGGAGUGUAUCGGGUAUUUUUAGUGAGGAUGGUUUCUUAUAACAGCUUAUCAUUUAGAAAGAACAUCAUCUAGUCAAUGUGAUGUAAAUGUAGAACACGACUGAAACCCUAAUUAAACAAAAUAAUACGGACACUUUUUCUCCUGAUGUACUUUUGUUGAGAAAGAGAGGGAUAGUGACAUGCAUAACUUGUAAUUAGGGAUACACCAAUGUAUCGGGCAAUAAUCGAAGUUGGCCGAUAAAAACAAUUAUUUUCACUAUCAGCCAUUGGCCGAAUGUCAAAAGGGGGUGGAAAAAUGUGUCAUACUGCAAUUCAUACUGUGUGUAAAGAAAAUCUCUCUUGUGUUGAAUUUAGGGCUUUCAAAGUUAAGGGGUUAAUAACGCAUUAACAGUUUAAAAAACAGUGACUUUAAAGGUGUCAACAUUAUGUUCAGUUUAGGUUUGUUCAUGCAUUUUAGUUUGUAUUUCUUCACUUCCUGUGUUCCUUUCUUUGAUUUUCCUGCCACUCAUCUUUUACCACGGACACGAACUAAAUGACAAAGCUGUGAUGAUAGUUAAUCUCAACUGUGUGACAAACAUUUCAGUUUUGGAGUGUAACUAUUAUUUCUGAAAAUAAGUUGGAUAUAAUAGUUUGGGUUCUGUUGUUAAUUUGAAUAAUAUUAUAGUCAUGAGAGUCCCUGUAUUUUUACAGCAUUAGUUGGGAGAGAUUUUUUCCCCUUAAGAAUAUCAAACAAUCGGUAUCGGCAGAUAUCAUUCUGAAUGAUCUGCUAUCAGUAUCAGCAGAGAAAUUUAGUAUCUCUACUUGUAAUUAUGUUCUCACAGAACUAAUGACUCUGUGACUCUUCCUCAGUCAUGAAGGACUGCAGAGAUUCAGCACUCUUGCUCCUGUUACAUUGCUUAAGUAGAGAAGGAGAAAUCUUUUUUUUAGUCUACUUUGUAUCCUGCAGAUAAUAUGCAGAUGUGCUCCAUAGACACCAAAAUGAAGAGAUGCUAAUGACUAUGAGAUUGUAGAUAUGAAUGAUGGAGAUCAUGAAGAUGUUAACUCUAACUCUGACUUUAUUUCAAAUAAAAUAUAGUUUAAACAAA